UACGAAGGGGGCUAGCGUUGUUCGGAAUUACUGGGCGUAAAGCGCACGCAGGCGGCUCGUUGAAUUAGAAGUGAAAGCCCUGGGCUCAACCCGGGAAUUGCUUUUAAGACUGGCGAGCUAGAGUCCGGAAGAGGGUAGUGGAAUUCCCAGUGUAGAGGUGAAAUUCGUAGAUAUUGGGAAGAACACCGGUGGCGAAGGCGGCUACCUGGUCCGGCACUGACGCUCAGGUGCGAAAGCGUGGGGAGCAAACAGG
rnacentral:rRNA from 1 species